GAGAAAGUAACUUAGAGAGAGAUAAACGAGGAGUUGAAAAUUAAGAGGAAGGAGUCGAUAAGCACAGGGCAUGAAGAUGAAGGUGAAAUUGGAGAAACAUAGAAAGACAAAGGGAGAAACGAUUUCUCCCGGGAUGGAGGAAGGAGAUCCACGUCAAGACAGGAUGAGAGAGAAGGUCGUCAAAAUGUAUCCGACAGAUACAGAAAAAGACAGAAACAAAGAAAAUCCUUCCCAGGCUGCGGCAACACUCCCUGUGUAACCUGAGGACUUGAUUGAGAACACUUGGCGUGAUUGGUGUAACGUUAGCCUCUGCGACCUCCUCGAGCUCUUAACGAGGAAAUGACCGCCACACUCUGGGUAAUUUGCGCCAAUUAACCGCCGUGGCAACCGCUGAUGUGAGGAUAUCAGCUGUCCUUUAAUCAGCGCACGGGCGGCGGCUCAGCUCAUUUGAUCAUCAGCUCAAACACUCAACUCGUCUCUCUGCUCGUCUCUCUGCUCGCUUCCAGAUCAUUUUGUCUCCUUGAUGUGCGCCUCUGCUACCUGCUGACACUCCUCUGUGGAUCCUCUGAGUCACACCACUUCACCUGCUGAUCCACCUGCUGAUCCACCUGUCUGAUCUCGAGCCAUUUUCACUGCCUUCUAAAAGAGCAUUCACAGAACAACCCUCUUCACACUGGAAAUCAGUCCGAGCCGACAGCAGCUUCCAACCCUUGUAUCCCGCUCUCGACUUGUCUCCUUUGUAGAGCUCCAACGCAGACGUUCUCUCUGGCCGAGUCCCAAAAGUCUGGACUUCCCCGGGAGAGAGCCCCGAACCACACGCUUCCAAAAAAGAAAAAACAUGACGAAGCUGGGAGACGUCCCUUAGAAGAAAACGACCAACUCUGAGACGGCUCCCAUGAGGAUUUUCCUGCAGUUCUACGUAAAUUAUGUGGCUUUUCAACACGUGACAGUCGGAGUUUCACCACACUGGGUGGUGCUUUAACUUCCAGAGGGGCAGUUGGAGGAAACAUCCUGACGCUUCCCUGCAGCCGGGAACAAAUUCCAUCAAAUACAAAGGGAUUCUGAUUAUAAUUAGAUCAAUAAAUUCUCUUUUUUCCCCCCACACAGAAUAUGCAGUUGUACAUUAUAUAUCGACUUGAAUCCUUAGACUCCUGAGAGAAAACGUGGUAAAAGACAAAAACUGUCAAAUCCUAUUGUCAGUGAAGUGUCUUUAUGGCUCCUGGCUGAUGUGGUGUGACUGAAGACAUGUUUGAAACUCUGAACGUGAGUCAGGGUUGAGCUGCAGCGACAAACAGAGGCGACAGUAUUCAUUGUUCCAGUUUAAGACAGAAGGACAUGUAUUAUUAAAUUCAGGGUUUUGUUGUCGACAAUUUGACAAAAGAAAAUGUCAUUUUCCUGUUUACCUCCAAACACACUGCAGCGAAACAUCAGCAGCCACUGAUGGUUUCUACACAAUGUUAUGUACAUUUUUUUUUUUUUACUGUUGUCAAUCUUUAACAACCGUUGUACAGUAUGAACUUUUGUGUAGAAUUGGGUGAUAUAUGCCUCAGAUUUAUAUCGUUUUGGCUGCUUUAUGAUACAUAAUAUCAUAUUUUGUUGAAAUCUCCUCAAAAACACUUCAUAAAUGCCAAGAAAAUCAAAUACCUCGAUAUUGAUAUUGCAACAAUAUUGUAGGAAUGACAUUUUAUACUUUCAUGAAAUAUUAACACCGUGACAUUUUGUGAUAAAUGAUCAUCAGCAAUGUGGAUAUAAUGGUUAAAGUUGAGAAGAACAAGUCAGUCUGGUGAAAGUUACAUCACGUUGUAAUGCAGCACACACUUAAACCACAUCAUCAUACAACAAAAUCCAAAAUCACAUCCUGAUUGUGAUUAUUAUGAUAUAAAAGUGACCGCUCAGCUCUCUGUUACCACGACCCUGCUGAGAAACACUAUUAACGACUGCAGUCCAGACCGCCCGCCUGCUGCUGAGGGUUUCUUCUUAUAUUUAAUGAAAUUGUGAUAAUAUGAAUAAGCUCCUGUAUCUCUGGCCGAUCAAUCAUCAGAGAGAGGAAACAUUUUCCUGGGAGCUGCUUCACUCACGAGUUAAAGAAAUGCAAUUUUUCUGCCAAGCGGCGCUCGGUCACAGAGAUUGGACCAGCCGGGCCGAAACAAUGGUCUCCUGUCAGCCUGAUCAAACACUGGGAGGAAAACACCGAGUGGCUGCUUUCAUGACUUACAGCCGGGCUCAGAACCAGAACAGUUGUGGAGGUGAAUCAUGCUGCACAGAGGAAACCGAGCAGCUGGAGGGUUUACUAAUGCUUCGCUUGGUCGCUACAGUAAACGACUCUGUUAAAGUUAAGAGGAAAUCUUGUUUUUCAGUAAAUCUGGAAA